rnacentral:lncRNA from 1 species
GCCUCCACGACUGGGAUCUGUGCGCUCUCCGUGGGCAGCCCCCGGACCCAGGGCGCGUCCACAGCGCCCACCCGCGGCCCCAAAGCACCUUGAGAGCAGAUCUCAGGGCAUAACCAGGCACAGACCUGAGACGCCCUGCUGCUGCCAGAACCUUGGCCCGAAACCUAGAACCUGGGACCAGAUUCAACGGUUCUCCUCAUGCAUACAUGCGUCCAUCCGUCCAUCGAUGCGGACAUGCAUACAAUACAAAUCCUCAGACGCAGGCACCGAGAGCGGCACCUCGCCCCCUUUCCCGCUCGCCCUCCUUCUGCGCAGCCCUGGCCCCCUUCCUGAAGGGAGAACAGCUCAAUUGCGAAAAGGAGCCAAGGAAGGAAAUCCCAGGCUCGGAGGCGCCCGCCCGCCGAUGCUCUUCUGGUCCCCGUCCCUGUCGCCCAGUCCCCACCCCCACCGUCCCCAGCUCAGGGAGGGCGGGGACGCGGCGGUGCGAGGGGUCCUGCCCUGCUCCACCAGAACAAAGCCCACCGCGGGAGCCCGCGGCCGCGCACCGAGCCGGUGACAAAGGCGGGCGGGCGGCGCCGAGCUCCGAGUCUGCGCUUCCACAGCAGGCGGGGAAGGAGACCUGGAAAACAGGAAAAGCAAUGCUAAUUCGUCUUCUGAAGGCCGCUCUGGGUGUUCAAAUAACAGUCUGAAAGCCCUUAUAGGGGAGUGCUUGGGGAGUAAAGGGACCCUCUUCAUUUUAUUAUGCAAACUGUGCUCCAAAUAAAAUGCAGUCUAAGGAAGCAGAGCUUGGCCCUGGGACCCCAGCAAGUCGCCGCCUAUUCGGGAGAAGUCGCUUCUGAUGGCCACAAAUCACUGGGGGGGUGGGCAGGGGACCCGCCGCUGUGGAAUGGAGACCUCAAGCGCUGGUGUCCCCCAAAGCAAACCUUUCUAGGGAAACUUCCAACCUGACUUUCUAAUCCUGGAAAGGAAUCAAUCUCUUGCUAGACACCCCCCCCCCCCCCCC